GUCAGUAACUGCUAGAAGUUCUUUGUUCAUUUAUGUAUCAUUGUCAUUUUGUUAAGUUUCAUUUGUUACCUAUUCUGACAUCGGACACGGACUUCUUUUAAACUGAGUUUUACUGUCGGUAUUGCUGGGUUUUUUUUUUAUCUGCAAUGGCUAGAGGUACAAAAGGAGGGUUGAGAUCUCACAAAACAUGUUUAACUCCGCCGCAUUUUUGUGUCCGUCCAAGGUCAGGAGCCUCUGGCCUUUGUGUUGGUCUUCUAUGAAUUUUAAUUUUAGUUUCUUUUAUAUAUUUUGGAUAUAUAAAAGAAUAUGUGGUAUGAGUGCCAAUUAGACAACUCUCCAUCCAAGUCACAAUUUAUAAAAGUAAACCAUUAUAGCUUAGGCUCACAACAAACAGCAAGCUAUAAAGGGUCCCCAAAAUUACUAGUGUAAAACCAUUCAAUCCGGAAAACCAACGGCCUAAUCUAUAUGAAAAACGAGAAACGAGAAACACUUAAGAAGUUUAGUAUGACGUCCAUUAUCGCAUAACUAGUACAUAUUUUUGUUUAUGGGCCAGCUGAAGCGCGCCUUUGGGUGCGAGAUUUUCUUGCUGUAUUGAAGAACCAAAUGUAUCUGAGAAACAAAUCUUAUAAAACAUGCGCACCUUAUAAUUAUUUUGAACAUUAAAUACAGUUAAACUAUACCUUUAUUAUCGUAUCUAAAAAAUAGACCAAUUCUGAUAUAUUUAAAAUUGACCAAUUAUAAACCAUGAAAAUAAUAUCAAGGUCAGAUAAAGAUAUAUACAUUACGAUCAUUCCAUAAAACAAAUAAAGUUCACUUAUUCCUUAUAGUAUCUGAAAAACAGACCAAACAAGAAUCAAAUAACACGAACCAUGAAUAUAAGUCAAAGUUAGAUUAAUAUUACUGCAAGAUAGACAAUUACACCAUACAAACAUUCCGUACACCAAAUAUAUCUAGCUAAAUGCUUAUAGUAUCCGAGAAAUACACCAAAACACAAAACAUUACUUUGCCG
rnacentral:lncRNA from 1 species